AUUGAACGCUGGCGGCAGGCCUAACACAUGCCAGUCGAGCGGAUGAAGGGAGCUUGCUCCUGGAUUCAGCGGCGGACGGGUGAGUAAUGCCUAGGAAUCUGCCUGGUAGUGGGGGAUAACGUCCGGAAACGGGCGCUAAUACCGCAUACGUCCUGAGGUAGAAAGUGGGGGAUCUUCGGACCUCACGCUAUCAGAUGAGCCUAGGUCGGAUUAGCUAGUUGGUGGGGUAAAGGCCUACCAAGGCGACGAUCCGUAACUGGUCUGAGAGGAUGAUCAGUCACACUGGAACUGAGACACGGUCCAGACUCCUACGGGAGGCAGCAGUGGGGAAUAUUGGACAAUGGGCGAAAGCCUGAUCCAGCCAAGCCGCGUGUGUGAAGAAGGUCUUCGGAUUGUAAAGCACUUUAAGUUGGGAGGAAGGGCAGUAAGUUAAUACCUUGCUGUUUUGACGGUACCAACAGAAUAAGCACCGGCUAACUUCGUG
rnacentral:rRNA from 1 species